AUAGAGGAAUCCAGCUGCUAAUGCAAAUCAGGUGCCGACUUGUGAAAAACAAUUGUACAAUCUGCAUUAGUUUACGCAUAAUGAUAUUCAUAAAUCAGAGAUGGCGCUGCAUAGUACACACUUCAUUAUACACACAAGGAGAAAUAGAUAUUGUUUAUAGAAUCCUUAUUAAUUACAAAGUUGUAAGUGUCAGUUAUUGGUGCAGUGUCAGGUAUUGGGCAACUUACCUUAAUUAUAAGAGAGAAAUUAAAAUAUAUAAAUAUAAAAAAGGCUGUCAUGAGAUCUGUAUGUACAGCGUAA
rnacentral:lncRNA from 1 species